rnacentral:rRNA from 1 species
AGAGUUUGAUCAUGGCUCAGGACGAACGCUGGCGGCGUGCUUAACACAUGCAAGUCGAACGGAAGUUACGAGGAAGCCUAGCGAAUUGUAACUUUAGUGGCGGACGGGUGAGUAACGCGUGGAUAACCUGCCUACAUGACCGGGACAACACCGGGAAACUGGUGCUAAUACCGGAUACGCUCACGAAUGCACAUGCAUAUGUGAGGAAAGGAGCAAUCCGCAGGUAGAUGGGUCCGCGUCCCAUUAGCUGGUUGGGGGUGUAAAAGACCACCAAGGCGACGAUGGGUAGCCGGCCUGAGAGGGUGGACGGCCACACUGGAACUGAGACACGGUCCAGACUCCUACGGGAGGCAGCAGUGGGGAAUCUUCCGCAAUGGGCGCAAGCCUGACGGAGCAACGCCGCGUGAGUGAAGAAGGCUUUCGGGUUGUAAAACUCUGUCUUCAGGGAAGAAAGAAAUGACGGUACCUGAGGAGGAAGCCCCGGCUAACUACGUGCCAGCAGCCGCGGUAAAACGUAGGGGGCGAGCGUUGUCCGGAAUUACUGGGCGUAAAGGGCGCGUAGGCGGUUUCUUAAGUCAGAGGUGAAAACUGUGGGCUCAACCCACAGCCUGCCUUUGAAACUGGGAGACUUGAGGGCAGGAGAGGGGAGUGGAAUUCCCAGUGUAGCGGUGAAAUGCGUAGAUAUUGGGAGGAACACCAGUGGCGAAGGCGGCUCUCUGGCCUGUUUCUGACGCUGAGGCGCGAAAGCGUGGGGAGCAAACGGGAUUAGAUACCCCGGUAGUCCACGCCGUAAACGAUGGGUGCUAGGUGUAGGAGGUAUCGACCCCUUCUGUGCCGUAGUUAACACAAUAAGCACCCCGCCUGGGGAGUACGGCCGCAAGGUUGAAACUCAAAUGAAUUGACGGA